GAAAGUAGGGGAUCGCAAGACCUUGCGCUUUUGGAGUGGCCGAUGCCUGAUUAGCUAGUUGGUGGGGUAAAGGCCUACCAAGGCGACGAUCAGUAGUUGGUCUGAGAGGACGACCAGCCACACUGGGACUGAGACACGGCCCAGACUCCUACGGGAGGCAGCAGUGGGGAAUUUUGGACAAUGGGCGAAAGCCUGAUCCAGCAAUGCCGCGUGAGUGAAGAAGGCCUUCGGGUUGUAAAGCUCUUUCAGUCGAGAAGAAAAGAUUGUGAUGAAUAAUCACAGUUCAUGACGGUAUCGACAGAAGAAGCACCGGCUAACUACGUGCCAGCAGCCGCGGUAAUACGUAGGGUGCAAGCGUUAAUCGGAAUUACUGGGCGUAAAGGGUGCGCAGGCGGCUUUGUAAGUCAG
rnacentral:rRNA from 1 species